CUGAGCGGGUGAGCGCACGCACGGGUUUCGUCCUCUGCCACCACCUGGCUCGAGGCUCCCUCAGGGGCGCCGGGGCUCCCAGUUGCUCCCUCUCCGAGUUGCCCUUGUGUCCGGCGGCCGCCCCUGACCCAGCGCUCCUCUCGGAAGGCAGCUGGGAAACCUGGGGACUUUAUGGAGCGCCGGCUGCGUGCCUCUCUCUGCGUGCCUCUCAGGAUGCAAGCAGUUGAUUUGACCAGAAAGGCAUAGUACCAGCAAAGAAAAAGCGUUUAGGUUUCACAGCGCGAGACCACCAGGAACAGUCCUUAGACGAGAAAUUGGUGAAGGGGAGGAGUUUAUGGCCAGGGCACUCGAGUACACAGGUGAAGAAACAAAGGCAACAAACACACAGGGAUACAGUGAGGAAGGAAGUUGGGAGGACACCCUGGAAGACAGAGAAAGCAAGUGAUCCAAUAUAAUCUCCUUAUAAACAUGCUGAUAAUUGGCCUCUUGGUAAAUAAACUGAUGAUAUUGACUAGACGGAGAGUCCUCACCUAUGGACUUUUAGCAAGAACGACCCUGAAUUAGGAUUGCCUAUGGAAUACUAAUUUAGAGUCUGGAUUUAUGAAGCAUGGCUCCCUGGAAGAUCUCAUUUAAGUCCUAUAAUGAUUUGGAUAUAAAAUGAAGAUGAUUCAUACCCUGAAGUCUUUCUGCUGUGAGGUAACUCACAGAUCUCUUUGGAGACCUCAUCAUUGCUCUGGUCCUACCUCUGCCACAAAUGGAUUCUGUAACCUUGGUUAGAACCCUUAACUUCUC